GUAAACGAUGUCGACUUGGAGGUUGUGCCCUUGAGGCGUGGCUUCCGGAGCUAACGCGUUAAGUCGACCGCCUGGGGAGUACGGCCGCAAGGUUAAAACUCAAAUGAAUUGACGGGGGCCCGCACAAGCGGUGGAGCAUGUGGUUUAAUUCGAUGCAACGCGAAGAACCUUACCUACUCUUGACAUCCAGAGAACUUUCCAGAGAUGGAUUGGUGCCUUCGGGAACUCUGAGACAGGUGCUGCAUGGCUGUCGUCAGCUCGUGUUGUGAAAUGUUGGGUUAAGUCCCGCAACGAGCGCAACCCUUAUCCUUUGUUGCCAGCGGUCCGGCCGGGAACUCAAAGGAGACUGCCAGUGAUAAACUGGAGGAAGGUGGGGAUGACGUCAAGUCAUCAUGGCCCUUACGAGUAGGGCUACACACGUGCUACAAUGGCGCAUACAAAGAGAAGCGACCUCGCGAGAGCAAGCGGACCUCAUAAAGUGCGUCGUAGUCCGGAUUGGAGUCUGCAACUCGACUCCAUGAAGUCGGAAUCGCUAGUAAUCGUAGAUCAGAAUGCUACGGUGAAUACGUUCCCGGGCCUUGUACACACCGCCCGUCACU
rnacentral:rRNA from 1 species